rnacentral:lncRNA from 1 species
GCAAAAGAAUACAAGAACUUGGAGAGAAAUGGAGAGGAACGAAGGUGUGGGGCCUGUGGAUCCUGCACUUUUCUAAGGUACGCUAUGCCUUGUAGCUAUUUCUAAGAUUGUCUGUUUUAAGUGGUUAUAUCAUGAUUUGCAAGAAGCUUCCUUCCUCUGGUCAGCAUGAAAUGGUCUAAAAACUUGAGAACAGCUCUCUUUCCUAUUGAGUUCCGGAGAAAAGAAUCCGUAUAAGUGAUGUAAACUGGUCUCUUGCAGUUUGAUUGGAAGAAAUAGGUCUAUGAUUUUUAGGUGAAAAUGGUAUAAAUUUUAAUCAAGGCUAAGCAUAAUUAGGAAAACAGUACCAGUCUGUGAAACAAUUGCUGAAUGCUCAUAUUACUGAGAAAAUAGAGACACGGCUUUAAAAAACACUCCCUCCGUUUCCAAAAUUAGAGAUUUAGGAUAAUUUUAUGCUCAGCUAUGGUUUGAUAUUGAAAAUGAUAGUAAAAAAUAAUGGCAAAUUAGGAACAUCACGUCACUUUAUAUUCCUAAAAUAGAAAUAUAUCUUUAAUUUUGGAACGGACUUACAUCACUAAUUUUAGAGCAGAGGGAGUAUGAUUAAUAUGGAGUAUUCGUAUUAGGGCAGGCAUUUGAUUAUAUCCUUCAGUUUUCAUGGGGUUUCAUACAGAUAUCAACAAUGAUUGCUAAUUGGUUAACAAUAUGCUAGUUCUUAAGUGCAUUAUUAAAUUAAAUUAGUUCUGCGUGUGUUUAGUAUGCACUUCUUCUAUUAACUACUGCUACUGAGCAUCCUAAACAGCAUUGUUGUUCCUGAUGUUUGAGAUUUAAGGGUAAGUUAGCUAGAUUGAGAAUUUCAAGUGGCAAAAGAAAAUUAUAGUUUCAGGAGACUAAAAAUCCACUUCCAUUCUAAAAUGAAAAUUAUAACAGAAAUAGAAUAUGCAUUAUACACACCAUAAACGUAGAGGACGAGGGAACAAAAGAAAAGGAAAAAUGUCUUUUGUUGGCUACAUGGCCACUAUUCCCUUUUUUUAUAAUCAAUCAGAGAUGAAAAUCCUAGCUCAACCCUUCCCUAGCUGCCUUCGUUGUUCUCCGCAAAAAAACAUAGUAUGAUUUUCAGAUGGUUAUCCUCAGUAUCAUCACAACCUUCUUCAAAUUUCCUUCGGGCUACUCUCUAUAAGGGAAUGCUUACUUUGGGCUGAUGGAUGCUUAUGAGAAAAAUUCAUAGGUCUUGGCUUGAAUUAUGAUCUGCCUUAGUCCUCCAAUAGGUGCUAAAAUCAUUAAACAAAUUCCGAAGAAGAUGCAAAUCUGAAAUUCAUGAAGCCAAAUCAAACCAAUUUCGGGACAAAUGAAAAACAAUGAGAACAAUUUAAGAACUUUUAAGGUGCACGUACCCAGUUAGUAAGCCAAGAUAGGCUGUAUCUCCUCGGUUUGUAGAUAGCAAGCCACAUGACGCAGGGGAGCUAUAGGAAACAGGAAAAUUAUGAUAUUUAGGAAAUCAGUACGAGUUAUCUUCAUUGCAAAGUUGAGUUAUCGCAUUAAUAUUUAAAGAUGGAAAACACAGUUGCUUACAAAAUAUGUAGUUGGGGCGAAGGCGAAUCCUCCAAAGAAUCCAAGAAGACCCCCAAAGAAGGGGAAACAAAUGGCAACAAACAUUGUGAAAGCUGAGAGAAAGAAAAUUGGUAUCAAUCUCAAACCAAUAUAAUUAACCCACCUGCAGUCUGCAGAUAGAUCACACAACUCACAGUCUGGUGCAUGCAAUGCAAAUUUACUUACCCACGUAUAGGUUCCUUGAAACGAAACGAAGAGUUGCACUAGGUGUGAAAUGUAAUUUCUUUACCAGCACAGUUUCAAUCAUAUCAAAUACUGGCAUUGCAUAAAUCUACAAUGACUCGGACAAGAGAAACUAAUUAGUAAGAUCACCACAAGAAACAAACAGAUAUGAGCAACAUAAUAUUAACUAAUUGGCACCUGGUAGCUUCCGAUAACAUGAAAAACAACAAAUAAAUUGGCCAUCGCAAUGAGCCAAGUAGGCUUCUCUAAGGUGAUGAGGAUAUUGUCCGAGACUGCAUUUCCAAACAUCCAAUAUCCAAUCAAAGCAACAGGGAAGUAACACACGGCAACAACUAUGUAGGCCACGAUGACUCCCUUCCACAUAGGACCCUUUGAAGGCUUCUCGGGUGUUGAGGGGAUUGUUGCUUGAAUCUCCAAAACCACAUUAUGCCCUGCAUAUGCAAAAGCAACAUCUCCUAGUGCACUAAAAAAGUUAAAAACUGUUCCGGCUGUAGACUUAGCUUUGUAGCCAUAUUGCACAUCUGGUUGAACACCCUUCUUAACGGAAGCUGACCAAGCAAUAGUAGAGUAACUGCAUCAAAAACAAUCAUAUCAAGCAUGUUAGUUUUCAUCCAAACAUCAAAAAUCAUGUCUUUUAUGUUUGGUACAAUUAAUCUUUUUUAUUCAAAUUUUAUGAUUUCAUACCUCAAGGACAUGAUUGCUGCGACCAAAGAUACCCAAGAGAUGGAAUUGAAGUUAGGGAGAUGGGAGAGGACAAAAUGGACAGAGGCAAAGAUCAUGAUGAAGUAGGUGAGUUUGAUAUCUUUGCAAUCAUUUUUGCAAACUAAAUCAUGGAAUUUUUGCAGGGAUUUUCCGCCGGUGACCGUAAAGACUAUGUUUACUCCAACUUCAACGAUUAGCUGUUGGGGCACAACAAUAUAGAGGCCGAGCUUCUCACCAAAAGCAUACUGGCCGAGCUCAUGGUAUCUGUCGAAACGUCUCCCGGGUACCAUCUCAUGCAUCUCCACCAUUUGCCAUAAUGUGUACAAAGUGACUAUCCAUGAUAUCACUAGUACAGCUACACCAGGACCCCUGAACAUUAUCAAGAACGACGACAUUUAAGACAUUCUGUAUCAAUGGAACGUACUUUAAUUUGUUCAUUUCAAAAAAAUUGGUAGACUUGUAAAAAAAAUGGAAUAUUUUUUUCCUUUUUUGUUUGAUAAAUGAAGCAGACAUACCAUCCAAGUUCUGACAUGGCAUAAGGGAGACUGAGAACUCCAGCUCCAACCAUGGCAGUGAUAUUGUGGAAUGCUGAAUACCACCAUUUUGCAUGCCUUGAAGACGUUAUAGGAAGCCAAUCGUCAAUGGCUUUCUCUUUAGCUGUCCGUCGAUCAACCUGUUAAAGACGAUGAUACAAUUCUCUCAUUAUGUUGAGACUAGACUAGAGAGUAGAGAAUAGAGACUCCUCCCAGGAAAAUAACAGGAACAUCAAAAAGAGAGUAAAUAUUACCAGUUGUUUAAUGGUUUUAUGCAAAGGGUUUUUGGGAUAGUUGAUUAUUUAUUUUUUCCAGUAAUUUAAUCCAAUAAGUUAAAUUUUACAGGACCAACUACAUGAAUACAUACAUAUGAGAAGUGGUUAGUAUGAAGUUUAUUUUCGGAUAAGUUGAUCAAUUGACCAAUAGAAUACUGACACGCAUGCGAAGUUGUAUGUGUGUCCAGGGGCGGUUCUAUGUCUGGGGCAGGGGGGGCACUUGCCCCACUGAAUUUUCAUAUCACGCCUGGGGCAACUGUGCUAUGCUAUAUGCCCCCUUUUAUCCUGAUCAUAUCACACCUAUGCUAUGCUAAGAGUGCUCUAGACCAACAUAUCAUACCUUUUACCAAACAAUAUUUCUAGGUCCAUAUAGCAAUAUGUUUGGUUAAAUGGUUUAUAUGAAAAAAGCAAUUCGGAUGAAACUUGAGUUUUUAACUUUUAUUCUACUUUUUCUUAUUAGCUGCUAGCAAUGAUUGGAGAGCACAGAUGAAAUAUUUGGAGUUGUUGUCAAUGUCAGAGCUAGCCAGGAAAAAAUAGCUCUGUGGACUAAGAAUGCUGCAAAUGAAGCGGCUCCGAGUGGCCUUAUCCAAAUCUUUUGAAUUUGUCACAUUUAUACUACAUUGAGUUUUUAAUAAUAAAAAAAUACUAAUAAAAAAACCAUUUUAGUAUUUUCCUCAUAAGAAAAUUAUGAAUAUAUAUAUAUAUAUAUAUAUAUAUAUAUAUAUGUGUGUGUGUGUUAAGUGUUGGAAAAUUAUAUUGAAUUUAAAAAAGUAUGUAUAUAUAGCUACAAUUUUUAUUCUUAAGGAAUUUUUUUUAAAAAUUUGACCCCACUGAACUACGCGGCUGGAUCCGCCCCUGUGUGUGUCAGUCAAUUAACCAACUUACCAACAAAAUAAAUUCAUGCUAACCGGAUCCAUACAUAUGUAUUUCCUUUUGAGGCUUAUAUCCUUCGUCUGUGUUUCUUUAUUAAUGGUCCUUCACACACACAUACACACACACACACAUAUAUAUAUAUAUAUAUAUAUAUAUAUAAAUGUUUGAUGCACAGGGAGAGAAAUUACAUUAUCGGAGUUGUGGUGCUGAUCUGUCUGAGCUUGGGAAACCAUGGCCGUACAGUUGAGAGUACUCUGUUAGAGAUGGACAGAUGGUACUGAAACAGGGCAGGGGAAAUUAAGACAAAAUAGAGGACUGCACUUGUAUGUUGUACGUUCUUUUACCUUUAAUUCCUAUAUGUUAUAUAUAACAUAUUUAAACGCCCGUGUACGUAUAUAUUAUAUUAUUAUAUAUAGAGGGUGGGAAGUGGGGAAUUUCAAAAAGACAAAAUAUUCAAUAUUUAUUAUAGAUAUAAUUUAAAUGAAAAACUCUAUUAAAUUGUGAUUAAUUUUCUUGUAUUCUAGGUAUUAGCAUAAGUCGGUAGAUAUAGAGUAGACAAUCAUUCCAUUGAGAAUAUUCAACUGAAUUGGCGUCUCCUUUUGGUUGGUUUUGAAUUUUCAUGCACACGUACACACUCUCACAUGAUAUAUAUUUAACAUAUCUUUAAGAUGAGGAAGUUUGACUAAACCUACGUAUUCACAAAAUCUCUCUAUGACUCUACUACUACCUCAAAAAUAAAAUAAAAAAUGGAUGGAUGUUUUUUUUAACUUAAAAGACUUAAUAAAGUAAGUGUGGACCUGCCUAAUUAAAUUGGUAGUGGUUAAGGGUGUAAACGAACCGAGUCGAUUUGAGUAUUAAGUUGCUCAUAUUUGAUUUAUAAAAUUUAUGGAAUAUAAUAUAAGGUUUGAUUGAGACUCAUUUAGCUAUCGAGUCGAGCACGAUUCCGAAUCGAAUCCGAGUAGUUUGGACUUUUUCAACGAAUAUGAUCUGAGUAUCAAUAGAAAAUUAUAAUUUGAGAAGGUUAAAGUAAUUUAUCGAACCUUUAAAAUGUGCUCAUAUUUGACUUAUUUAUAUUUAGAGUCGAGCUCGAAUCAAAUUUUUAGUCGAACGAGUAUGAAUCGAAUCCGAACUAUUUGCUCAUUUUACAGCCUUAGCAGUGGUUAUAAAAAAAUCAAGUGUCUUUGACGAUUACAAGUUGAACACAUGUUUUCUCGGAUGCAACAACUCUAUGGAAUUAUGCUAGCGGUUUCGAUUCUCUAUUAUUUUUCUAGUCGAAAUGAGGACCAUUUCAUUUCUUCUCAAAUGAUUUUCUUUGAGGUAUCAAAGUUUUUCUAAGGUACGGAAGAAGCAUAUAUGGCCAAUGAAAUAUGUUGACUUUAAUAAUUAUUUUUAACUUCUUAUCGAUUGGAACCAAAAAGAAAAAAAAAAGUGUACAUUCAUGAAGAUGGAAAAAUAAAAAAUUAGGUAUUGACCGACCACCUUAUUUUAUGAAAUAGGAUCAAAAUUCAUAUUACAUUAUUGACCAGAGAAGUUGAAGUUGAAAAUAAAAAGGUUGUUGGUGGGGAUUUAGCUAGUCCAAGUUGUGAAUGUUGAUAGUUUUUUCAUUGACUUGAGUUUUAGCUAGAGACCGAUAUACUAUAGUGUGAAAGAGAGUACUGGGUGGGGUGGUUAAGCAGCCGCAGCCUGAGUCCGGAAUAGGAGGAUAUAUGGAUCCCGAUCCUCUCUAUUUCAAUUUGAAAUAACGAGUCUCUAUUUAAAAGUUUAGAUUUAAAAUUGUUAGAUCGAAAGUUUAAAAAUUGCUAUUUCAUUUAAAAGUCGUCACUAACCUAAGUUUAAUCACCUCAUUUAAAAAUUACUAACCUAACUCUAGUCAUCUUAAUUAAAAGCCACUAAUCAUUAAUUUAAUAUAACACUAAUAUAGAUUAGAGGAUGCAUACAAACACUAAACUUAUAUGUAUACAUGUCGGGAGAAACAUCAAACGUGUUCUACAGUUAAACUUAAUUAUAGAUUAGACAAAAAAAAAAUUCGGGGUGGAAGUUGAAUCCAGGAUCUUUUGCUUUGCAAGAAGCGUGAGGCCAGUUGAUAAUUAUAGAUUAGACAAUUAGUGUUAAAGACCUCCACAGUAUGUUCUUUGUGCUAUAUAUCUUUCGGGACUAAUUAUAUUAAUAAAAUACUUGGUUUGCAAAAACACAAAUUAUUUGUCAUUGCUUAUGUCAUAUGUUAGUUCAAUAUGAUCAGAUGUACUAUUACGAUUUCAACAAAUCUUGGAAUUAUAUAGUAUAAUAUUUAUUUGAAAAUCGACACAAAAGUAUGUUUCUUUUAGGAAUAGAUCGAUGGAGGGAAUAUAUUAAUUAUUAUAGCCACUAGUUUCAAAAGAUGAUGCUUGGUUAAGAGGAUGAAGUCAACAUUGCAAAAUCAAAUUCAAUUCAAUUUUAGUAUAUGAACUCAAACUUAUAAUUAGUCAAAUAUUACAGGCCUCUCCUUAAUAGUACUUGAUUAGUUGAUUAUUUUUAAGGAGAGAGAAACUGGAGAUCAUGCAUAAAAAAUUGUAUAAAAUAUUAAAAAAAAUAUACAAUAAGUUUGGCAAAAGAAUAAGAAAUGGUCCAUUGAUCUCUCCUAAUCUUGGGUUUUUGGAGAAAAGAAUUCUUAUAAUCAGAAAAGAAAAUAGACAGGCAGGGCUAUAGAUAAACAAUAUGAUUAAUAUUGAGUAUUCGUAUUAGGGAGGGAGUAGGCCGGGAUAGCAUUUGAUAAUAUUGAUCACCCUCAGUUUUCAUGGGGGGAGGGGGGGUCAUAAAUAUCAUCAACUGUGCUAGUUCUUAAGUGCAUUAUUAUUAAGUUAAAUUAAAUUAGUUCUGCGCGCGUUUAGUAUGCACUUCUUCUAUUAACUACUGCUACUAUGCAUCCUAAACAGCAUUCAUUCUUGUUCCUGAUCGAUGUUUGUAUCCUAAACAGCAUUAUUGUUUCAUCCUAGCUAGAAAUAUAGAUAUUGAAACAAUAAUGCUGUUUAGGAUGCAUUAUUAUAAUUCUUAGAAAAAAGCCAAUGCUUUCAUUCCAUAAGUGGAAUUAGUCUUGAUUGUAACUUAUCUGUUUUAUUCUAUAUAAGCUGUAUAGUUGUCUUACUAACAAAGUUGAUACCAAAUACUUAAUUAUAUUUCCCUAGUCUGUACAAAGACAUGAACCAUGCAGCUUAACACAUAAUUGUUUCGGGAGAUGAAAAUCCACUUCCAUUCCACAAUGAGAUCGAAUUAUAACUGAAAUGCUAAGACAUAUGGGCUUUAUUUAUACACACCAUAAACGUAGGGGACCAAGGAACAGAAAAACAUGUAAACGACAUAGGCUGAAUGAACCUCAUGGAAAGUCUUUGGCUGCCUGCAAGCCUACAAUUUGGCUAUUUUUUUUCCUUUUUCAUACAAUCAGAUGUGUCAAUGUUUCUGAAAAUCCUAGAUCUCAACACUUCUCCAGUUGCCUUCGUUGUUCUAUAUGAAAAAGCACAGUAUGAUUUUCUGAUGGUUAUCGUUCCUAAGUGUCAUAACAGUCUUCUUCAAAUUUCCUUCAGCCUACUCUAUAACAUAACACAUGAUCCUUUGCUGCUUAUGAGAAAAAUUCGUAGGUUUUGGCUUGAAUUAUGAUCUGCCUUAGUCCUCCAAUAGGAGAUAAAAUCAUCAAACAAACUCCGAAAAAGAUGCAAAUCUGAAAUUCAUGAAACCCAAGUCAAACAAAAUGAGGCAAAUAAAAAACUACGAAAACAGUUUAAGAACUUCUAAGCUGCACAUACCCAGUUAGUAAACCAAGAUAGGCUGUAUCUCCUCGGUUUGUAGAUAGCAAGCCACAUGACGCAAGGGAGCUAAAGGAAACACGAAAAUUAUGAUAUUUAGGAAAUCAGUACGAGUUAUCUUCAUUGCAAAGUUGAGUUAUCGCAUUAAUAUUUAAAGAUGGAAAACACAAUUGCUUACAAAAUAUGUAGUUGGGGCGAAGGCGAAUCCUCCAAAGAAUCCAAGAAGACCCCCAAAAAAGGGGAAACAAAUGGCAACAAACAUUGUGAAAGCUGAGAGAAAGAAAAUUGGUAUCAAUCUCAAACCAAUAUAAUUAACCCACCUGCAGUCUGCAGAUAGAUCACACAACUCACAGUCAAGUGCAUGCAAUGCAAAUUUACUUACCCACGUAUAGGUUCCUUGAAACGAAACGAAGUGUUAUACUUGGUGCGAAAUGUAAUUUCUUUACCAGCACAGUUUCAAUCAUAUCAAAUACCGGCAUUGCAUAAAUCUAUAUUUAAAGAUGAAAAAAAAUUAUAUACCAAUCAGUAAGAACACCAGAAGAAAUUAACAAACAGAUAUGAAUGACAUAAUUGGAACCUGAUAGCUUCCGAUGACAUGAAAAACAACAAAAAUGUUAGCCAUUGCAAUGAGCCAAGUAGGUUUCUCUAAGGUGAUCAGAAUAUUGUCGGAAACUGCAUUUCCAAACAUCCAAUAUCCUAUCAGAGCAACGGGGAAGUAGCACAAGGCGACAACUAUGUAGGCCACGACGACUCCCUUCCACAUAGGACCCUUUGAAGGCUUCUCGGGUGUUGAAGGGAUUGUUGCUUGAAUCUCCAAAACCACAUUAUGACCUGCAUAUGCAAACGCUACAUCUCCCAGCGCACUGAAAAAGUUAAAAACUGUUCCGGCUGUAGACUUGGCUUUGUAGCCAUAUUCAACAUCUGGUUGAACACCCUUCUUAACAGAAGCUGACCAAGCAAUAGUAGAGUAACUGCACCAAAAACAAUCAUAUCAAGCAUGUUAGUUUCCUCCCAAACAUAAAAAAUGAUCAGGUCCUUUAUGGUUUCUUUAAUAUUUUAUGAUUUUGUACCUCAAGGACAUGAUUGCUGCAACCAAAGAUACCCAAGAGAUGGAAUUGAAGUUGGGGAGAUGGGAGAGGACAAAGUGGACAGAGGCAAAGAUCAUGAUGAAGUAGGUGAGUUUGAUAUCUUUGCAAUCAUUUUUGCA